rnacentral:rRNA from 1 species
GUGGGGAAUCUUCCGCAAUGGACGAAAGUCUGACGGAGCAACGCCGCGUGAGUGAAGAAGGUUUUCGGAUCGUAAAGCUCUUUCGUUAGGGACGAACGUGCUCUUUGUGAAUAAUGAGGAGUAAUGACGGUACCUAAAUAAGAAGCCACGGCUAACUACGUGCCAGCAGCCGCGGUAAUACGUCGGUGGCAAGCGUUGUCCGGAAUUAGUGGGCGUAAAGCGCGCGCAGGCGGGAUAUCAAGUCUGUCUUAAAAGUGCGAGGCUCAAACUCGUUGGGGGACAGAAACUGGUAUUCUUGAGUGGCGGAGAGGAAAGUGGAAUUCCAAGUGUAGCGGUGAAAUGCGUAGAGAUUUGGAAGAACACCAGUGGCGAAGGCGACUUUCUGGACGAUGUCUGACGCUGAGGCGCGAAAGCUAGGGGAGCGAACGGGAUUAGAUACCCUUGUAGUCC